UGUAUCCGCCCGUCCAUUAUUAUUAUUUUCACAAUGAGUAAACACGAAAAAAAGAUUUACAAUUCAUCGAUUCUCUCAUCCUCAUCUCCAAGUAAACAGGGCAUCACAGUUGUGACUCAAGACUUCAAUCUUUCUCCCUUCCUCACACGACAGCAGAGGCACCAAUUCCUCACCCUGAUGGAUCCUUCUUCUUCUAAGAGCGAUCGCAGUGUCAUUUCUUGACUCAUCUUCGACUGAUCCACUCGCCGGAAGGAAACCAAGACCGACGCUAUCAGACUCGUGAUCAUGGAUCGGCCAUGAGGCCCUCCGAAGCCGCCGGUCGCGCUCCUCCUUCAGAAACGGUCCUUUCUCCAGCAGCUGCAGCACUCUCUCUGCUUUCUUCUCCACAGUCAACCCCCAGUUAUACCUGCGCGCAGCGGCAAGCAACUUCAACAAUCAACACCAUUCCUGAUCACAAUGAAUAUGAUGGAAUGAACCCCCAACUCUAAAGCUUAUAAAUUACCCCUUCUCGUCGACGUGCUCGAAGCGGCGCAUGCGUUCUAUGAUCUCUCUGUCUCUCUGCCACUCGUCUGCGAAGCUGAGCGGCCCAUGAGUCAGCAGAUAUUCAGCAAGUAGCAGCGCCUUGUAGCUACUCCUCCACCUCUUCCCAUCAAAUUUCUUGAAUCUAAUCUCUGAGACUCUCCAGAAAUCGUCGACCUCGAACGAGCGCUGCGAGAUCAAACGCAGCGUCCUCCUCCCCGUGUCCUUUGGCGGCCAUGGCUUGCUCCUGGUUGCUUCUUCGGCGAGCCUGAUCAAACAGAGGGGGUUACAAAUGGAAGGAAAAGGGACAAGAAGAGAAGGGAGCGACUCACAGCUGCGCGAGAGUGACGUCGGUGAAGGCCAAUCUGGUAGAGCGGACGCUUGAUCGGAGGACGUGGGAGGUCUGGCUCUUGAGCCUGCGGAGGAAGGAGUUGGCCAUGGCUUGUUAAGAGGAUCGAUGAUGAGUUAGCUCUUCUUAAUUUCGCAGUCUUAAUUGGCGCACGGUCGAGGAAAUUGACGAGGAAGCAAUUGACCAAGAAAUGGAGAAAGCAGCAGGCGACACGGAUUUGACGACUUCGAAUUUAGAAGCGAGUUUUGUUUUUUAAGAGAUUGUCGAAUUGAGAGGUUUGAUGAUUGUUCAAUUAUUGAAAAUUGAGGAGGAAGUUGUUUA